rnacentral:rRNA from 1 species
AGAGUUUGAUCCUGGCUCAGAUUGAACGCUGGCGGCAGGCCUAACACAUGCAAGUCGAACGCGAAAAUUCCUUCGGGAAUGAGUAGAGUGGCGGACGGGUGAGUAACGCGUGGGAAUCUACCUGGUAGCGGGGGAUAACUCGGGGAAACUCGAGCUAAUACCGCAUACGCCCUACGGGGGAAAGGAGGGGAUCUUCGGACCUUUCACUAUCAGAUGAGCCCGCGUUAGAUUAGCUUGUUGGUGAGGUAAUGGCUCACCAAGGCGACGAUCUAUAGCUGGUCUGAGAGGAUGAUCAGCCACACUGGGACUGAGACACGGCCCAGACUCCUACGGGAGGCAGCAGUGGGGAAUAUUGCGCAAUGGGCGAAAGCCUGACGCAGCCAUGCCGCGUGUGUGAAGAAGGCCUUCGGGUUGUAAAGCACUUUCAAUAGGGAGGAAAACUUGUAGGUUAAUACCCUGCAAGCCUGACGUUACCUAUAGAAGAAGCACCGGCUAACUCCGUGCCAGCAGCCGCGGUAAUACGGAGGGUGCGAGCGUUAAUCGGAAUUACUGGGCGUAAAGCGCGCGUAGGCGGCUUCGUCAGUCAGAUGUGAAAGCCCC